CAUUGCUGGAACGCGCCCCAGGCGCACCCAGAAACCCUUUGUGAACUUAUACCUUUUGUUGCCUCGGCGCAUGCUGGCCUCUAGUAGGCCCCUCACCCCGGUGAGGAGAAGGCACGCCGGCGGCCAAGUUAACUCUUGUUUUUACACUGAAACUCUGAGAAAAAACACAAAUGAAUCAAAACUUUCAACAACGGAUCUCUUGGUUCUGGCAUCGAUGAAGAACGCAGCGAAAUGCGAUAAGUAAUGUGAAUUGCAGAAUUCAGUGAAUCAUCGAAUCUUUGAACGCACAUUGCGCCCUCUGGUAUUCCGGAGGGCAUGCCUGUUCGAGCGUCAUUUCAACCCUCAAGCAUUGCUUGGUGUUGGGGCACUGCUUCUAACGAAGCAGGCCCUGAAAUCUAGUGGCGAGCUCGCCAGGACCCCGAGCGUAGUAGUUAAACCCUCGCUCUGGAAGGCCCUGGCGGUGCCCUGCCGUUAAACCCCCAACUUUUGAAAAUUGA
rnacentral:rRNA from 1 species